AACCGCUAUAGGUGGUUCUUUGAUGGAAACCAAUUUCCCUAGGCCGAGUAGAGGAAUAGACUCGGCCUUUUUUU
rnacentral:sRNA from 1 species